ACGUUCUUAGUUUAAGAGGAAAAAGUAUUAACCUUCGAAGUUAAGGAAUAAUGGUUCGAGUCCAUUAGAACGUA